rnacentral:lncRNA from 1 species
AUUUCCAUAUCAUCUGGUGUGUGUUUGAUGAUAUGAUGACUAUGAUGAUGAUGAUGUUCAAACCUUAAUGCUUUUAAUAUCUGCAAUAAUCGACUAAACUUUGUGUCUUAGCUCUGUGAUCUUCUAUAUGCUUGAAUGUUUGGGGGGAAAGAAACCCCAAAAUUUCCAGUUAAGACUAACAAGAUCGGUGGGUUCUACUUUCCUAAUUGUCCAGCCUUAACCAGGUAUGGAGAAGCAACCGGUUUCAUCUUUUAUUCUGGUUACAUUUUCAUGCAUGGGAGUUUUCUUUUCUGGCAGUGGAACUUGCGUUUGGUUGCUGAGAAAACAGAAGUAUGAAAUGAGUUUUCUCAUGAUUUUGGUUAAAUUUUAUGUUUUCU